rnacentral:rRNA from 1 species
AUUGAACGCUGGCGGCAUGCCUUACACAUGCAAGUCGAACGGUAACAGGUCUUCGGAUGCUGACGAGUGGCGAACGGGUGAGUAAUACAUCGGAACGUGCCUAGUAGCGGGGGAUAACUACUCGAAAGAGUGGCUAAUACCGAAUGAGAUCUACGGAUGAAAGCAGGGGAUCGCAAGACCUUGUGCUACUAGAGCGGCCGAUGGCAGAUUAGGUAGUUGGUGGGAUAAAAGCUUACCAAGCCGACGAUCUGUAGCUGGUCUGAGAGGACGAUCAGACACACUGGGACUGAGACACGGCCCAGACUCCUACGGGAGGCAGCAGUGGGGAAUUUUGGACAAUGGGCGAAAGCCUGAUCCAGCAAUGCCGCGUGCAGGAUGAAGGCCUUCGGGUUGUAAGCUGCUUUUGUACGGAACGAAAAGCCCCGGGUUAAUACCCUGGGGUCAUGACGGUACCGUAAGAAUGAGCACCGGCUAACUACGUGCCAGCCGUCGCCGUAA